AGCGAACGCUGGCGGCAUGCCUAACACAUGCAAGUCGAGCGCUCCCAGCAAUGGGGAGCGGCGGACGGGUGAGUAACGCGUAGGAACGUAUCCUGAGGUGGGGGAGUAACCCUGGGAAACUAGGGCGUAAUACCGCAUGAUGGCGAGAGCCCAAAGAUUUAUCGCCUUGGGAGCGGCCUGCGUCUGAUUAGCUUGUUGGUGGGGUAACGGCCUACCAAGGCGAUGAUCAGUAGCUGGUCUGAGAGGAUGAUCAGCCACACUGGGACUGAGACACGGCCCAGACUCCUACGGGAGGCAGCAGUGGGGAAUAUUGGACAAUGGGCGAAAGCCUGAUCCAGCAAUGCCGCGUGGAUGAAGAAGGUCUUCGGAUUGUAAAGUCCUUUCGGCGGGGACGAUGAUGACGGUACCCGCAGAAGAAGCCCCGGCUAACUACGUG
rnacentral:rRNA from 1 species